rnacentral:rRNA from 1 species
UACAGAGGUCUCAAGCGUUGUUCGGAAUUAUUGGGCGUAAAGGGCGCGUAGGUGGUUGAGUAAGUCAGGUGUGAAAGCUCUGGGCUUAACCCAGGAAUUGCAUCUGAUACUGCUCGGCUUGAGUACGGUAGAGGAGGGUGGAAUUCCCAGUGUAGCGGUGAAAUGCGUAGAUAUUGGGAGGAACACCGGUGGCGAAGGCGGCCCUCUGGACCGAAACUGACACUGAAGCGCGAAAGCUAGGGGAGCAAACGGG